rnacentral:rRNA from 1 species
CCUACGGGUGGCAGCAGUGAGGAAUAUUGGUCAAUGGCCGGAAGGCUGAACCAGCCAUGCCGCGUGAAGGUCAGUGCCCUAUGGGCGUUAAACUUCUUUUGUGCGGGAGCAAUAAUGGUCACGUGUGGCCAGACGAGAGUACCGUACGAAUAAGCAUCGGCUAACUCCGUUCCAGCAGCCGCGGUAAUACGGGGGAUGCAAGCGUUAUCCGGAUUUAUUGGGGUUAAAGGGUGCGUAGGCUGUGAGGUAAGUCAGCGGUGAAAUGCCCCCGCUCAACGGGGUGAAGGGCCAUUGAUACUGCCUUGCUGGAAUGCGGAUGCCGUGGGAGGAAGGUGUGGUGUAGCGGUGAAAUGCAUAGAUAUCACACAGAACACCGAUUGCGAAGGCAUCUCACGAAUCCGCGAUUGACGCUGAUGCACGAAAGCGUGGGUAUCAAACAGGAUUAGAUACCCGUGUAGUC